rnacentral:tRNA from 1 species
GGGGGUUUAGCUCAGCUGGGAGAGCGCGGGCUUUGCAAGCCUGAGGUCAGGGGUUCCAUCCCCCUAACCUCCACCA